rnacentral:lncRNA from 1 species
AGUCCGGUGUUCUGUUUCUUCUGUUUCUCCCUGUCGUUCCCCACUAUCUUUUCGGCUAUCUUCUUCCCUGUCAUUCUUUUCAUCCUCUUGAUAUUUUUCUCUUUUUUCCUCUGUUCGAGUACUCUUCUUCUUCUUUUCCUUCCUCUUAUCCCCUUCGGCUGUCUGCUCUGCUUCCAUUCGUCUUUUCUCUGCUUCGAGUUUUUUUAUAUCUAGGCGAG